GUUGAGCUACAUGUUUGGUCCCC
rnacentral:snRNA from 1 species